CUAUCUCUUUCCUAGCAUGAAACAAACUCACACCUACCCCUUCUUUCAUGAGUUAUUACACACCAUAAAUUAGGGGAGGCAUCCAAGAGUUAGACGCUCCUCAAACUCUAUCUGAUAGAGGUUUAAACCGCCCUAAAUACUAUCCCUUUUUGAUGCUGAAAUAAAUCAGAUGGGAUCUGAUUUUGUGUGCAAGUUCUAAAAGGGAUUUUACCAUAAAAUCUGAUGGGAAAGGAAUAUGGGGUGUUGGGUCUUUUGUGGCGAG
rnacentral:lncRNA from 1 species